ACAUUUUCUCAAAUCAGGUAGGACUACCCGCUGAACUUAAGCAUAUCAAUAAGCGGAGGAAAAGAAACCAACAGGGAUUGCCUCAGUAACGGCGAGUGAAGCGGCAAAAGCUCAAAUUUGGAAUCUCAGUCUUUCAGGCUGCGAGUUGUAAUUUGAAGACGUAUUUUGAAGUAAGCACAUGUCGAAGUUCCUUGGAACACGACGUCACAGAGGGUGAGAAUCC
rnacentral:rRNA from 1 species